rfam:Enterococcus cecorum DSM 20682 = ATCC 43198 genomic scaffold adfme-supercont2.1, whole genome shotgun sequence.
AUUCGUUGCAAGUUCCCGAAAGGAUUCGCCUCUUUGCGAAGAUGCCUUGUAACCGAAUAAUUUUAGGGGGAAUACUUCAUG